GUUGGACCAGGCUGGUAUCGAACUCCUCAGGUGAUCUGUCCGCCUCGGCCUCCCAAAGUGCUGGGAUUACAGGUGUGAGCCACCGUGCCCGGCCUGCUCUGUCCUUUCUAACGCCAGAGCACUGUCUCAUCACACCUCUACAGAGCCUUAAUCUCAGCAAUUAGACAUGGCUUGUGCUGGGGCUAGUAAAAUCCACUCCAAGGGGCCCAGCCCUCAGGGGUGGCGACUAUUUUGUAGUGUGAUGCUCUGGAACAAGAUGACCACACGCGCGAGGCACUGCCACAGAAAAUCCUCCAUGGGCCUGUCCACUACUUUUCUGACAGCCUGGAUGCAGCUCCUCCCAGAAUAGGCACUCACAACCCUUUAAGAACCUGCCCAGACUUGAUGAGGGAUAAAAAAAAUCAGACUCCAGAUCAGCAAGACAGGAUAGGGUGUGGGAGGGAUGCCUACACCUAAGACACCCUUAUCUUUUUUCCAUUUCUUCCCAGUUGCUGGGUUCCACAUAGAGACAUGUGGUGGUCGGGGUGGGGGUGGAGGUUGUUCUUUUUUUUGAGACAGAGUUUCAUUCUUGUUGCCCAGGCUUGAGUGCAAUGGCGUGAUCUCGGCUCCCCACAACCUCUGCCUCCCAGGUUCAAGCAAUUCUCCUGCCUCAGGCUCCUGAGUAGCUGGGAUUUCAGGCAUGCGCCACCACCACGCCUAAUUUUGUAUUUUCAGUAGAGAUGGGGUUCCUCCAUGUUGGUCAGGCUGGUCUCGAACUCCCGACCUCAGGUGAUCUGCCCACCUCGGCCUCCCAAAGUGCUGGGAUUACAGGCAUGAGCCACCAUGCCUGGCCGAGGGUGUUCUUAACUGGAGGUUUAGUCCAAGUCCCUGAAUUUAUAGACAAAGACAGCAUCCAGAAGAAUUACUUGACAAGGUCUCUACCCCUCCCUCAAGUGAGAGAGAGGGUCAUCUCUUUUCCCAGGGCUGAUAUACCACACUGUCUUUCUUCCUGAAGACUGAGGACUGGGGAGGGGUGGGGAAAGGAAGCACGUGCUGUCAGCUUCCGCAUUCCUCCUGUCCGCAAGGGAAUUCCAUACAGCCUCCUUAGCUGAGUCCUGCCACAUUUCUUUUGAGCAGGUGUUCAAGUCCCCGGUGAAGCCAGCAUCAACAGCCCCCCAGCCUGCUCCUCAGGCUGCCCAGAGUGCCCCAGGAAGUACGCAGAGACAGUCCCAGCUCGACACCCUGAACUUUCACUAGGAUUUGGUUUCUAACUUUGUUCCCUCUCUCCCUGGCUAAUGAGCCAGCUUCACUGUGAAGGUGCCAGGGAUAUGAGAAUCAUCUACAUUUAUUACCAUCCCUUGGAUUCUAAUCCCAGACAUCUAAGGCUUUAAGUGGUCACCGUCUUUCUCCCACCAUAAGCUGGGGCUCCAAUUCCUAUCUUCCUGCCUCCCACUGGGUUCAACCUAGCUCAGUACCCAAGUAUGCAUGGGAUGGGGGACCAGGACUGCGCGGCAUGUGAUGAACACACACCCUGCCCUCAAAGGUUUACGCGCUGGGGGAGUCCCUCUCACUCUUUGGCACAAACCUUUCACUUUGGUCAGAAGAUUCCUGUUCCAUGGACACACAGCCUACCCGUGUUGAGUUUUCAUCUCUUUUCCACCACUCUGCCUUUCACCUUAAGCCCCAGCAUUAGGGAGCCUGUUACAGUUCUGAGAUAGUAUGCUGUUCCCCCCGCCUUGUUCCUUCCUGGUCUGUCUGGCCAACUGACUCAGCCUCCAAAAUCCACUGCCAUUUACCGCAGGUUUGCCCUGCUUCUGGACUUUAGUCACAUUUCUACACAUAUUUGUCAUGUUAUAUUGUGAUUUAUUUAGAGCUUCCCCUUCCUAACUUUGCCCUCUUCCAAGCUUAGACUCAGAGGGCAAGUAGGUUUCAUGCUGCGUGUGCUGGGGACUCUCGGCCCCAACAGGGCUCGGAAGCAGGUGGGAAAGUGCAUGCUCCUGAUGGAACUGGGGGCUAGCCUUCACCUGCUUUAUCUUACUACUUAUUGGUACAUUGUCUUUUCAGGGAAAUGAAAAGGCCUUCAGUGUGUUUGGAAGAUCUUGUUUUAGAAGACCUUAUUUUGG
rnacentral:lncRNA from 10 species